UACGAAGGGGGCGAGCGUUGUUCGGAUUUACUGGGCGUAAAGGGCGCGCAGGCGGCCUUAGAAGUCAGAUGUGAAAGCCCCGGGCUCAACCUGGGAAUGGCAUUUGAUACUCUGAGGCUGGAGUACGGGAGAGGAGAGUGGAAUUCCCAGUGUAGAGGUGAAAUUCGUAGAUAUUGGGAAGAACACCGGUGGCGAAGGCGGCUCUCUGGACCGUAACUGACGCUGAGGCGCGAAAGCGUGGGGAGCAAACAGG
rnacentral:rRNA from 1 species